CGGGCUGUAGUGUAAUGGCAGCACGAGUCCUUCGGGAGGAUUUAGUCCGGGUUCAAAUCCCGGCAGCCCGACAA
rnacentral:tRNA from 1 species